CUCUAAUUGUAUCACUAUUUUUAUAACCAUUUCAUUAUUAUUAAACUUUUAAAAUUUCGAAAACCAAGUGAUUGGCAUUUUUCACAGAAGGAAAUGUGUUCGAGGAAGUAAAAGAUGGAAGUUUUGAUGUGAAUAAAUGCAUGAUAUUUGGUAGUAUGUUGACGAUAUGGAAAUAAGGGGUGGAAUGUCCCAGGGUGACAUUAUGGUGCUUGUAUCCCAAAUCGUGUGUUCUGUUUAUGUUUGAUGCUUUGUUCUGUGCCUUCCGGACUGGCACUGAAAAGUGAAGGUUUGUUUUGUCUUAGCAGCCGGCAGGGCUUGCUUGCUUGCUGGCUCUUUGCUCUCUCCCCUGCUUUUGCCCUUGCUCUUUUUCCUUUCCUUUUCAUGAAUACCAUUCAAACCUUCCCGGGCUGGGACCUGGGAAGCACCGAGAGACACCUGCCUGCAUUUUGUGACCUGCAGCAGCCAUCCCCAGUGUCAGAGACCGAGAACUGGGCGACUACUCCCAUGAGAGCUCCCAGAGGCGAAGAAGCGGAUACUUGGCACACAUAUCGGUGAGCGGCAGCCGCACGCAGCGAGCCGCCUGCUUCAGCCGAAAGACGCCGGGAACUGGCGCUUCCCUCCGGACAGCACCAGAGACCCGGAGCCGGCUUCUCUAGCGGACUGCAUCAUAGAGAAAAGCUUCUCCAGUGUAUCUUGCAGGGAGAAAGCUUGCCAGCACAGUGCACGCACCCCGCUCUCUCCCAGAAACAUGGAUUUGCUGAACACUCCAAAAA